GACGAACGCUGGCGGCGUGCUUAACACAUGCAAGUCGAACGGAAAGGCCCUGCUUUUGUGGGGUGCCCGAGUGGCGAACGGGUGAGUAACCCGUGAGUAACCUGCCCUUGACUUUGGGAUAACUUCAGGAAACUGGGGCUAAUACCGGAUAGGAGCUCCUGCUGCUUGGUGGGGGUUGGACAGUUUCGGCGGUUGGGGAUGGACUCGCGGCUUAUCAGCUUGUUGGUGGGGUAGUGGCUUACCAAGGCUUUGACGGGUAGCCGGCCUGAGAGGGUGACCGGCCACAUUGGGCCUGAGAUACGGCGCAGACUGCUACGGGAGGCAGAAGUGGGGAAUAUUGCACAAUGGGCGGAAGCCUGAUGCAGCAACGCCGCGUGCGGGAUGACGGCCUUCGGGUUGUAAACCGCAUUCACCUGUGACGAAGCGUGAGUGACGGUAAUGGGUAAAGAAGCACCGGCUAACUACGUG
rnacentral:rRNA from 1 species